GACGAACGCUGGCGGCGUGCCUAAUACAUGCAAGUAGAACGCUGAAGAGAGGAGCUUGCUCUUCUUGGAUGAGUUGCGAACGGGUGAGUAACGCGUAGGUAACCUGCCUUGUAGCGGGGGAUAACUAUUGGAAACGAUAGCUAAUACCGCAUAACAAUGGAUGACACAUGUCAUUUAUUUGAAAGGGGCAAUUGCUCCACUACAAGAUGGACCUGCGUUGUAUUAGCUAGUAGGUGAGGUAAUGGCUCACCUAGGCGACGAUACAUAGCCGACCUGAGAGGGUGAUCGGCCACACUGGGACUGAGACACGGCCCAGACUCCUACGGGAGGCAGCAGUAGGGAAUCUUCGGCAAUGGGGGCAACCCUGACCGAGCAACGCCGCGUGAGUGAAGAAGGUUUUCGGAUCGUAAAGCUCUGUUGUAAGUCAAGAACGGGUGUGAGAGUGGAAAGUUCACACUAUGACGGUAGCUUACCAGAAAGGGACGGCUAACUACGUG
rnacentral:rRNA from 1 species